GUAGGUGGCAAGCGUUGUCCGGAAUUAUUGGGCGUAAAGCGCGCGCAGGCGGUUCUUUAAGUCUGAUGUGAAAGCCCACGGCUCAACCGUGGAGGGUCAUUGGAAACUGGAGAACUUGAGUACAGAAGAGGAAAGCGGAAUUCCACGUGUAGCGGUGAAAUGCGUAGAGAUGUGGAGGAACACCAGUGGCGAAGGCGGCUUUCUGGUCUGUAACUGACGCUGAGGCGCGAAAGCGUGGGGAGCAAACAGGAUUAGAUACCCUGGUAGUCCACGCCGUAAACGAUGAGUGCUAAGUGUUAGGGGGUUUCCGCCCCCCUUAGUGCUGCAGCUAACGCAUUAAGCACUCCGCCUGGGAGUACGGCCGCAAGGCUG
rnacentral:rRNA from 1 species